rnacentral:lncRNA from 1 species
AAAAGAUCAAAAGUUGUACAGUUAGGGUUAUUGAAGAUUAAAUGGGUAUAAUCCUGCAUGCUGUUGUAGUUCUGUGACUGCUAUAAAAGUAUUCUCAGAUUUGGCGUUAUUCAAUAUAUUCUCUAAAUCAUAUCAGUAGUCAAACCUACCGAUGGGGAUCUUUCCAUGUCUUGAUUUGGACAAUGGUUGUUUUAUUUCGUUGGACACUUAAAUUCGUGGAUAAAGUCAUCCACGAAAAGCACGAAAAUUGGUACCCCACGAACAAAAGUACUUUCACAGUAUAUA